CACGUAGGGGGCGAGCGUUGUCCGGAUUCAUUGGGCGUAAAGGGCGCGCAGGCGGCCCGGAAAGUCGGAUGUGAAAACUCGAGGCUCAACCUCGAGCGUGCACCCGAUACUGCCGGGCUUGAGGCAGGUAGGGGAGAUCGGAAUUCCUGGUGUAGCGGUGAAAUGCGCAGAUAUCAGGAGGAACACCGGUGGCGAAGGCGGAUCUCUGGGCCUGUCCUGACGCUGAGGCGCGAAAGCUAAGGGAGCGAACAGG
rnacentral:rRNA from 1 species